AUGAACGCUGGCGGCAGGCCUAAAACAUGCAAGUCGAACGCUUGUAGCAAUACAAGAGUGGCGCACGGGUUAGUAACAUGUGGGAAUAUGCCUUUUGGUACGGAACAACUUUUGGAAACGAAAGCUAAUACCGUAUGGUCCCUUCGGGGUAAAGAUUUAUCGCCAAAAGAUUAGCCCGCACUGGAUUAGCUAGUUGGUGAGGUAAGAGCUCACCAAGGUGACGAUCCAUAGCUGGUCUGAGAGGACGAUCAGCCACACUGGGACUGAGACACGGCCCAGACUCCUACGGGAGGCAGCAGUUAGGAAUAUGGGACAAUGGGCGCAAGCCUGAUCCAGCCAUGCCGCGUGAGUGAUGAAGGCCUUCGGGUUGUAAAACUCUUUAGACGAGGAAGAUAAUGACUGUAGUCGGAAAAUAAGCCCCGGCUAACUUCGU
rnacentral:rRNA from 1 species